rnacentral:rRNA from 1 species
UACGGAGGGUGCAAGCGUUAUCCGGAAUUAUUGGGCGUAAAGCGUCCGUAGGUGGGUUAUCAAGUCAGUUGUUAAAAAGUGAAGCUUAACUUCAUAAGGGCGACUGAAACUGAUAGUCUAGAGCGUGGUAGGGGUAGAGGGAAUUUCCAGUGUAGCGGUGAAAUGCGUAGAUAUUGGAAAGAACACCGGUGGCGAAAGCGCUCUACUGGGCCAUGACUGACACUGAGGGACGAAAGCUAGGGGAGCGAAAGGG